rnacentral:rRNA from 1 species
UACAGGGGUCCCGAGCGUUGUUCGGAUUCACUGGGCGUAAAGGGUGCGUAGGUGGUGAGGUAAGUCGGAUGUGAAAUCUCCGGGCUCAACCCGGAAAUGGCAUUGGAAACUACCUUGCUAGAGGAUUUGAGGGGGGAUUGGAAUACUUGGUGUAGCAGUGAAAUGCGUAGAUAUCAAGUGGAACACCAGUGGCGAAGGCGAAUCCCUGGAAAAUACCUGACACUGAGGCACGAAAGCUAGGGGAGCAAACAGG